AUUUAGAUGACGAGUCUUAAAUAAGAUGAAACGCUUGUCCUGGAU
rnacentral:hammerhead_ribozyme from 1 species